rnacentral:lncRNA from 1 species
GGAGUAUGUCCUCCCAGAGGAAGAACAGCUGUGAAGCUCCUGUGUCACAGCCCAAACUGCAACACAGAGUGUGUUUGCGUGUCUGCAGCUAGACACUGUGCUGCAAAUUUUCAGCCUUCUUUCACAGUAUUUAUGACAGCUACAGCAGCUUUGGGAAAUGAGAUGUCUUUGGCAUGAACACCUGGAUCACUCUGGUGGGAUAACAGAUUUAGGUGCCAAACUGCUUUGCUGAAUGCCCACUCAGCUCUGGGAUCCUGGUUUCUUUUUACCCCCGUGGCUUUGUCCGCAAUUGCAAAUGCUGUUAGAGGUUAUCCUCCAGUGACUUCAGAGAAAAUGGCCUUUACUUGAAGCUUACUUAUUCCAAAACUGUUUUCUCCUUCUUGUUACCUAUUUCUAUCCUUCCCUGACAACACAUACACACUAUUUUUUAGAUAUUUUUUCUUCAUUUAUUUCAGAAACUAAUGCUAACUCCUAUUUUUCUGUUGCAGCUUUUUCUGUACCCGUUCCCCAACUGAAUCUCUUGGGCAGAGAAAGAACGUGUACCUGUGCCCCUUACAACAUGGCCUUGGGCAGCAGAAAGGUUUACAGAUCACAUAUGGAACUUUAUGCCUUCAGAAAGCUGGAAAAGGAUAGAAAGAGAGAAUAACAACUUCAGAGAACAGCACAUAAGAGUUCUUAGUGCUGAUGAAGAGCAUCCUUGAAGACUUUUUUCAUUUACAAAGCAGAAAACAUAAAAACUUACCUGGUUACUUUCUAGAAUGAGUCCAGUGGGAAUGGUGAGUUAACUCAUUGACUAUUUACUGCUGGCAUUCCACUUUAUCAAUAACUAAAGCCCUAGGGUACGGCUCACUGAAAUCAAUGAAAGUACACCAAUUAGCUUAGACAUUACAGAUUUGUCUCUGAAAUUGUUCUAACAACUUUAAUAUGAUUUGGUGCAUAGGCUGUGUCAGUUAUUCAAGAGCUACAAACUUCACUGAGAUUUUGUUGGAUAACAAUUUCCUCUGCUGUUCCAGACUUACCUUGUCAGUUCACUAGUGGAUGGUGACAAUCAUCAUAUUAUUUCAAGAUCCUUUUUAGAAAACGAUGGAUGUAAUUUGUUAGAGGAGAUAUUAUAUCCUUAAGCAGCCACCAGUGUUCAGAAGUUAAUAAAUUUUUUCUGUACAUUUCUUAGGAAAGCA